rnacentral:rRNA from 1 species
CCUACGGGGGGCUGCAGUGGGGAAUAUUGGACAAUGGGGGGAACCCUGAUCCAGCCAUGCCGCGUGUGUGAAGAAGGCUCUCGGGUUGUAAAGCACUUUCAGUGAGGAAGAACGCCUGGUGGUUAAUACCCAUCAGGAAAGACAUCACUCACAGAAGAAGCACCGGCUAACUCCGUGCCAGCAGCCGCGGUAAUACGGAGGGUGCGAGCGUUAAUCGGAAUUACUGGGCGUAAAGCGCGCGUAGGUGGCUUGAUAAGCCGGUUGUGAAAGCCCCGGGCUCAACCUGGGAACGGCAUCCGGAACUGUCAAGCUAGAGUGCAGGAGAGGAAGGUAGAAUUCCCGGUGUAGCGGUGAAAUGCGUAGAGAUCGGGAGGAAUACCAGUGGCGAAGGCGGCCUUCUGGACUGACACUGACACUGAGGUGCGAAAGCGUGGGUAGCAAACAGGAUUAGAUACCCCAGUAGUC